rnacentral:rRNA from 1 species
UACGUAGGCAGCAAGCGUUGUUCGGAGUUACUGGGCGUAAAGGGUGUGUAGGCGGUUUUUAAGUUUGGUGUGAAAUCUCCCGGCUCAACUGGGAGGGUGCGCCGAAUACUGAAAGACUAGAGUGCGGGAGAGGAAAGUGGAAUUCCUGGUGUAGCGGUGAAAUGCGUAGAUAUCAGGAGGAACACCGGUGGUGUAGACGGCUUUCUGGACCAUAACUGACGCUGAGACACGAAAGCGUGGGUAGCAAACAGG